rnacentral:tRNA from 1 species
AAAGGUAGGAAUGUAUGGAAGGGGGCAUGGCGUAAUUGGUAGCGCGUCUGACUCCAGAUCAGAAGGCUGGGUG